GCCAAAUCCUUCAUCACCAUCAGACCGGGAACCGUCACUUCCUGUCGACAGAUCCGUUCAAACUCUUUCCUGAGGAACGCACACACAGAAGAACACACAGAUCACAUUCAGCACCUCACAACACAUCUACAGUUGUCAGAGUUUCUGAUAGUCACCUGAACCUGUCGAUGUCCUCUUCAGACACCAGAUUCUUGAUGAGGAUGAAGCCAUUUUCCUCAUAGGAGAGUCGCUGUUCUGGGGUCAGCAGGUCAGUAUCAAAAGUGUAUCUACCAAAAAAAUUUUUUUUUAAAAAUACACAACAAUAUCACCAUUUUUUAUUUACUUUAAUGUUUAGUUUGAAGUAAAGGGUACUGUAGAGGGAAAUGAAU